GAUGAACGCUGGCGGUAUGCUUUACACAUGCAAGUCGAACGCAAAUUUUUAAUUUGAGUGGCGGACGGGUGAGUAACACGUGAGAAUUCGCCUUUAGGUAGGGAAUAACUAUCAGAAAUGAUAGCUAAUGCCCCAUGUGCUCGUAAGAGUGAAAGGAGCAAUCCGCCCAAAGAGAAGCUCGCGGCUGAUUAGCUAGUUGGUAAGGUAAUGGCUUACCAAGGCGACGAUCAGUAGCUGGUUUGAGAGAACGAUCAGCCACACUGGAACUGAGACACGGUCCAGACUCCUACGGGAGGCAGCAGUGGGGAAUUUUCCGCAAUGGGCGAAAGCCUGACGGAGCAAUACCGCGUGAGGGAUGACAGCCUUUGGGUCGUAAACCUCUUUUAUCAAGGAGGAAGUUCUGACGUGUAAUUGAUG
rnacentral:rRNA from 1 species